UACGGAGGAUCCAAGCGUUUUCCGGAUUUAUUGGGUUUAAAGGGUGCGUAGGCGGCUUAUUAAGUCAGGGGUGAAAGACGGUGGCUCAACCAUCGCAGUGCCUUUGAUACUGAUGAGCUUGAAUGAACUUGAGGUAGGCGGAAUGUGACAAGUAGCGGUGAAAUGCAUAGAUAUGUCACAGAACACCAAUUGCGAAGGCAGCUUACUAAAGUUUAAUUGACGCUGAGGUGCGAAAGCGUGGGGAGCAAACAGG
rnacentral:misc_RNA from 1 species